AUUGAACGCUGGCGGCAUGCUUUACACAUGCAAGUCGAGCGGCAGCGCGGGGGGCAACCCUGGCGGCGAGCGGCGAACGGGUGAGGAAACCAUCGGAACGUGCCCGAGAGUGGGGGGAUAACGCCGCGAAAGCGGCGCUAAUACCGCAUAUUCUCUGAGGAGGAAAGUGGGGGACCGCAAGGCCUCACGCUCCCGGAGCGGCCGAUGUCGGAUUAGCUAGUUGGUGGGGUAAAGGCUUACCAAGGCGACGAUCCGUAGCUGGUCUGAGAGGAUGAUCAGCCACACUGGGACUGAGACACGGCCCAGACUCCUACGGGAGGCAGCAGUGGGAAUUUUGGACAAUGGGGGCAACCCUGAUCCAGCCAUGCCGCGUGCGGG
rnacentral:rRNA from 1 species